rnacentral:lncRNA from 1 species
AUACUGGGAUAUACUGGGGUGGUGGCAAUAGGAUAUACUGGGAGAGUGGUACUGGGAUACACUGGGAUACACUGGGGUGGUGGCAAUGGGAUACACUAGGAAGGAGGUACUGGGAUACACUGGGAUAUACUGGGAUGGUGAUACUGGGAUGUACUGGGAUGGACUGGGAUGGACUGGGAUGGACUGGGAUGGACUGGGAUGGACUGGGAUGGACUGGGAUGGACUGGGAUGUACUGGGAUAUACUGGGAUGGUGGCAAUGAGAUAUACUGGUAUACACUGCAAUAUACUGGGAGGGUGGUACUGGGAUACACUGGGAUAUACUGGGAUGGAGGCAAUGGGAUAUACUGGAACAGAGGCACUGGGAUAUGCUGGGAGGGUGGCAAUGGGAUAUGCUGGGAUGGGCUGGGAUAUACUGGGAUAUACUGGGAUACACUGGGAUGGAGGCACUGGGAUACACUGGGACGAUGGCACUGGGAUAUACUGGGAUAUACUGGGAUAGUGGCACUGGGAUGCACUGGGGUGGACUGGGAUAUACUGGGAUAUACUGGGAUGGAGGCACUGGGAUAUACUGGGAUAUACUGGGAUAUAAUGGGAUAUACUGGGAUAUACUGGGAUAUACUGGGAUAUACUGGGAUAUACUGGGAUAUACUGGGAUGGAGGCACUGGGAUAUACUGGGGUAUAUGAGAUAUAUGGGAUAUAUGGGAUGGAAUGGGAUAUACUGGGAUAUACUGGGAUGGAGGCACUGGGAUAUACUGGGGUAUAUGAGAUAUAUGGGAUAUAUGGGAUGGAAUGGGACAUACUGGGACAUACUGGGAUAUACUGGGAUAUACUGGGAUAUACUGGGACAUACUGGGAUAUACUGGGAUGGUGGCUCUGGGACAUACUGGGAUAUAUGAGAUAUAUGGGAUAUAUGGGAUGGAAUGGGACAUACUGGGACAUACUGGGAUACACUGGGAUGGUGGCACUGGGAUAUACUGGGACAUACUGGGAUACACUGGGAUGGUGGCACUGGGAUAUACUGGGACAUACUGGGAUAUACUGGGCUAUACUGGUAUGGUGGCACUGGGAGCUGCCUGUUUCUGCCCACCCCCACCCCAGGGUCCAUUUGGGGCCAUGGCAGCUCCACCCCACAGCGCUGCCCCACGGUGCCCCCCACCCCCGCCCUCCACAAAGGGCCCAUUGUGGGGCACCACGACCCCCCCCCACCCCACAACCACGCUAUAGGGCACAGUGACGUCAGUUGGGGGGGGGAGGUGGGGGCGGAUAAAGGGUCCCUUAUGGCCAUGGGGUGGGGGGGGCAUCAUUUGAGUGUCUCUAUGGCACAAUGUGCUUCUCCUGGGGGGGGGUCCCAUUUGUGUCCCCCCAUUGGGGCUGUCCUUAUGGGGUUCCCCAUUGUCUCCAUCCCUAUGGGGUGCUGUGAUAUGGGGGGGGGGCGGUUAUGGUGCUGUGCCCCCCCACUCAUCCCAAUGGCUUUGUGUGUGUCCCCCCCC